UCGAGAGCAUCUUGCUGAGACCAGCCCUGCCCUGUCCUGCGUAGGGGCCCCCUCUGUGGUGAGAACCCCUGAGGGCUAGUGUCAGGGGGAAAGGACAACACUUGCCAGCAGCUGUCUUAACUGCACCCCUUGUCCUUUGGGAGGGCCCCAGGCUGGCAGCCGGGGGAGGGAGCACUGGCCUUCUUCUGCUGAGGCCCGGAAGCUUCUCCUGCCCAGCAAAGGCCCCCGGAGCUCUCUGCAGACUCAAGGACACAGCCCCAAGGAAGUGUGGCGCCCUGGGCCCACCCCAAUCCCUGCAGCUUCCGGAGAGAGCAGCCAACAUGACCCUGCCUUCUCCUGCCCUCGAGAGUCUCCUGUGAGCACUGUGAGCAAAGGGAGUAGCAGGUGACAUUUAUUGAGUGCCUACUGCAUGCCAGGUGCCGUGCAAAGCGGCCAUCGUAGGCGCACCUCCCCCCUCAUAGCACAGACCACACCUGAUGUGCCUGACCCAGGAGGCAGGCAGUGCACAUUCAGGACCUAAAAUCGGAGCAUAGCCAGGUGAUGCCCAUUUUACAGGUGACAGGACUGAGGCCCCAAUACGCAGUCUCUCUGCCAUGAACUGGAUGGCACGGACGGAGGACGGCGGCUCUGGGAGUGUCCCACAGGGCCUGGGCGUGGUGGAGCUGGGUAUCCGUGGACCUGACUGUCCCCCACUGGGACUCCUGGGAGGAAGGGAGAGGGAGAGAGAGAAACAUCAAUGAUGAGAGGAUCCUUGAUCGGCUGCCUCCUGCACGCCCCGUACUGGGGAUGGAGCCUACAACCUGGCAUGUGCCCUGACCACGAAUCGAACCCUGACCUCCUGGUUCACGGGUUGAUGCUCAGGGCCCAGGACACACUGGAGGCCAGCAAGUCGGUCCCCAGCCUCAGCCACCCUCCUUCUGCAAAGUCCGUCUUACCCUCCUCUUGCUCUGCACCCUAGGUCACCCCUCCAUUCCAGGGACGUGCACUGAGCACCCAACGCAGGCUGGGCAAAGAGCAGAUAUGGGCCUGUCGUAGAGCUGACGGUGUGGAAGGGAGAUGGGCUUAGCCAUUUAAUAGAAGUUAGAUGACACCUGUGCUAGUGCUGGGCAGUGUG